rnacentral:lncRNA from 1 species
UGCCGAUGGGAACAACCUUUUCUCCUUUGCAUAUUGAAACUAGGCUACAUCGAUGCACCAAUAUUCUAUUCAAUACGCCUAAGAAAUCAACCUUUUACACUAAUAUAAGCAUCUGUCAGUUACCUGUUGAGAACUGAAGCCCAUUGUUCUGCAGAUUUGGACCAGCGUUUUCCGUCAUGGCUUCCGUCGGGCCUCCCCUGCCAAUACCUUGCGCCAACACCCGCGUCUCGCCGCCAAUGAACUACCGCCGAGCGCCCUUGCCUAGCCUAGGGUUCACUACGAUGGGACAAGCGAGCUAAAGGGAGACCUUGUGUCUCGCAUUUUCUUUUCUUUUUUUUGAGAAAACUUAUGUCUUGCAUUGAGCCAGACCUAG